rnacentral:rRNA from 1 species
AAAUUACCAGAGAACUGCCACUCUCCUUCGCUCGAUCCCCCACCUCCCCACUCGCGCUCGCGAUAGGGUUACAGGGCCGCCGCCGCCGCGCCGCCCGACAGCCCGCCCCUCCCGCUCGCUUCGAGGCCCGCAGCCGUUGCUCCGCCCCGGCCACUCCUUCGGCCCGCCUGCUCGCCUCGAGGCCCUCAGCCGCUGCCCCGCCCCGACGCCGCCUCGCCGGAGUUUGCUCGGGCCGUCGCCUAGGCUGAGCUCUCAUCUCCUCUCCGUCUUCUCUGUUCUGUUCUGUUCUGGUUAAUACAGAUAAUAUUAUCUUGUACCAUGGCUAGUGCGGAGGAUGUGAAGCAGCGGCAGGUUGUUGAAGACCGUGCAAGAAAUAUUAGCCACAAUGUACGGUGCACUGAGUGUGGCAGCCAGUCCAUUGAAGAUUCGCAAGCAGAUGUUGCAGUUCUCCUUAGAAGGUUAAUUCGUGAUGAAAUAAAAUCUGGAAAGAGUGAUAAGGAGAUAUACAAAAAACUAGAAGAAGACUUUGGAGAAACAGUUCUAUAUGCCCCUAAAUUUGAUCUUCAAACUGCUGCCAUAUGGUUAUCACCGGUGAUUGUGGGCGGCGUAGCAGCUGGUGUGUGGGCUUACCAAAAGCACAGGCAAAGGACCAACGUUCACAUCAUGGCUCUGAACCUCGUCCGAGGGGUUCCCCUGACUCCAAGGGAGAAGGAGACGAUGAUCGACAUCCUCACGCCGCCCCUGCCGGCAAGGAGGUGGUGGUGGCCUAUCAAAUGAUGUUCUUUCAUGUCCUUAGACGCGACAUUGAGUGGGUACCAAUUUCCUGAGGUACAAAUGUUCAGGAUGGCUGGAAUUUUAGCACGUGAUUUCGUUGCACAUCUCGCGCCCUGCUUGGAGCUUGGGCUACAGAUUUUUUUUCUGGGUUUUAUAACCGGAUGCUUGCGAUACCUUGGUGGUUUGUGAAGCAUGAACCUAGCUAGCAGCACAUGUUGCCUUCCUCCGUAUGCUGGCUGUGAAGCUGAAAAACAGCCUCCUGUUAAGUGUAGUUUCUUCCCUAAACAUGUGGUGUCACUGCUGACCCUCUGUGCUAGCAGUCUAGCACACAAGUAGAGCAUUUUGUUCUCAGAAUAAGCUGCAAAUUUUAAUUGAAUUUUCGUAGGCUCUUUGAUCGAUGUCAUGUUUGUUUCAUCUAACCUGCGACCUUGAUCCCCCAGCUUGGCGUACUAGAUGGUACUGGCAUGCAAUUCUCC